UACAGAGGUCUCAAGCGUUGUUCGGAUUCAUUGGGCGUAAAGGGCGCGUAGGCGGGGAGGUAAGUCGGGUGUGAAAUCCCUCGGCCCAACCGAGGAACUGCGCCCGAGACUGCUUCUCUUGAGUCCCGGAGAGGAAGAUGGAAUUCCCGGUGUAGCGGUGAAAUGUGUAGAGAUCGGGAGGAACACCGGUGGCGAAGGCGGUCUUCUGGACGGUGACUGACGCUGAGGCGCGAAAGCGUGGGGAGCAAACGGG
rnacentral:rRNA from 1 species